UAUUUCUUACCUAUUUUCUCUUCCAAUAUGUCACUUUCAUCUGUUUCUGAUCCAAGAAACCAAGGUUGCAAAUAAGUCAUGUUACAAGCAGAAUGAAGGUGGGUCAAAGUACGGAUACUGUCACGUGGAGAAUGGUACCCACAUGCCCUGCAAAGCCAAGUGUGCAUUAAUGCAGAGUGUGUGGACAUGGAGAAGACAUACAAGUCAGCCAACUGCUCCUCCAAGUGCAAAGGCCACGCAACUUCUCAACCGUGGUUGGUGUGUUCUUCCCCAUGGCAGUCAUAUUUGUGGUGAUUGCUAUAGUGAUCUAUCACCAAAGUGCCAGAAGAAAACAAAGGAGAGUUCAGAGGCUACCACCCAUCAAGGAUGCCAAGCUACACAGGCAGAAGUGUAGACCCCAAAAGGUAAG
rnacentral:lncRNA from 1 species